CCAAAUCAAAAGAGAAAGAGCUUACCUUGUCUAGCAAUGGAGGAUAGGCGGUUGCAUUUUCCGGCGAAGGUGGAGAGGAGGCUUCAUUUACUUUGGGUGUGCUUAGGAUGUUUCUGUUGGUGGAUUUUUCUAGGGUUUGAUCAGAUCGUCUGUGGGAACAGUUCUGUGGUACCAUUGAAGGUCCUUCAGCUGCGACUCUCCCAUCCAAAAGGUGAUAGUUCUUAAUAGUCCAAUCAAGGAAGACAAAAGAAGAUCAGAUUGCAGUGGACUGUCUUUGUUGCUCGAGAAACCUUCAGUUUAACAUACCUCAACAAGCAUCUGUAGCUUUAGGAACUAUUUCUCUUUUCUUUGUUUAUGUUUCUGGCAACAUUGAAGCUGGUACAGUAUUGUUGAUAUGGUAAAUUUGAUCAUUAUCUGGGCAUCAUUUCAAUGAAGCUAGGGCAGUACUUGUUCAGUGA